CUGUGGCCAUGCUGAAGCUCACUGGCCAGAGCCACCUGGAGCCCAGGUAAGCGGGUUCACUGAUACUCAUUACAGCAGUCUGGAUUCUACACACUGUGGGCAGAUUCCACACACCACGGGGAAAUGGAAGGCGCAGCACAUCACUGAUGAGAAAAUAUGGGCGGGAUUGGUGGUAGGUGAUUUUGGAGAUGUUCACGAAAGCCAUGGUUUGCUCUGGAAGAAUGUCGUGAAGCAGGAGACAAUUUUGUGUGUGUGUUUUUGUUUUUGAGGCAGGGACUCACUUUGUCACCCAGGCUGGAGUACAGUGGCACCAUCUUAGGUCACUGCAACCUCCGCCUCCCAUGCUCAAGCGAUCCUCCCUCCUCAACCUUCCCAGUAACUGGGAUUACAGGUGUGCACCAUCAAAUUUUCAAUUUCACCAGCUAAUUUUUCAAUUUUUGGUAGAGACAGGUUCUCACUAUGCUGGUCUCGAACUCCUGGGCUCAAGCGAUCUUCCUGCCUCUGCCUCCCAAAGUGCUGGGAUUACAUGCGUGAUGCCCCGUCCUAUUCCAAUGCCUUUUAUUAGGCAGUGGGAGAACAGAGAGGGCUUACAUUGUAACUGGUAAAGGAGCAGUUACUCUGUUUGGCCAGGAGAGGGGGAUGUGUGGUCAUCUUGUGAUUUGCACGCUGCUCUUGUUUUUUUCUGUGCUCUGGCAUGAUUAUGACGUGGUCUUGUUUUUACCCCACUCAGUCACAGUGACAGAAUAGCCUUGUUUGGUAUUUAGUGCUCUGUGAAGCUUCUUCUUUUCAGUAGGAAACACGGCCUAGCUGGGAGUGCCUGGCUGCUCUCAGCUGAUGCCUGUCAGGCCUGCUUUUUUUCUUUCUCUGAGCCCUCAUUCUCUUUCAGGUUUUUUGUUUGUUUGUUUUUGAGAUGGAGUCUCGUUCUGUCACCCAGGCUGGAGUGCAGUGGCUCGAUUUCUGCUCACUGCAACCUCUGCUUCUGGGGAUCAAGUGAUUCUCCUGCCUCAGCCUCCCCAGUAGCUUGGGAUUACAGGUGUGCGCCAGCACACCUGGCUAAUUUUUGUAUUUUUAGUAGAGACAGGGUUUCACCAAGUUGACCAGGCUGGUCUCAAACUCCUGAACUCAGGUGAUUCUCCUGCUUCUGCCUCCUAAAGUGCUGGGAUUACAGCUGUCUCUACAAAAAAUACAAAAAUUAGCUGGAUGUGGUGGUGUGCACCUGUAAUUGCAGCUACUCGGGAGGCUGAGGCAGGAGGAUCACUUGAGCCUGGGAGGUGAAGGUGGCAGUGAGCCGAGAUGGCACCACUGUACUCCAGCCUAGGCGACCGAGUGAGUCUCAAGCAAGCAAGCAAAUAAAUAAAUAAAUAAAACAGAUUUUUUUUUUUGGAGACAGAGUAUCAAUCUGUUGCCCAGGCUGGUGUGUAGUGGCACAAUCUCGGCUCACUGCAACCUCCAUCUCCUGAAUUCAAGUGAUUCUCCUACCUUAGCCUCCCAGUAGCUGGGAUUACAGGCACACACCACCAUGCCUGGCUAAUUUUUGUAUUUUUCGCAGAGAUGAGGUUUUACCAUGUUGGCCAGGUCUCAGAUUCCUGGGCUCAAGUGGUUCACCUGCCUCGGCCUUCCUAAGUGGUGGGAUUACAGGCAUGAGCCACUGUGUCUGGCCCUUACAACACAACAUUUUAAACACAAUAAUACACACUGUGACAUACCUUCCAAUAGCUGUCAGACGGAUGAUGUCAUCAUGUCUUUAACAUCUGGAAAAGAGCAAUGUACAUGUGAGAGUAUGGUCUCACUCUGUCACCCAGGCUUGAGUGUGGAGGCGUGAUCAUGGCUCACUGCAUCCUCAACUUCCAAGGCUCAGGGUCUGCUGGCACCGCCUGACUCGGUAUCUUAUGAGCAAAUGCAUUCCUGGAUGUGCCUGGUGUCAACCUGCCCCAGCCACACACUACAGUUACAUACUUAAUGGGGGAAAACAACUGUAAGUGAAGAAGCUAAGAUGGAGUUUGUCCGGCUUCUUCAAUUAAGAAUGACUUGGUUAGGCCAACACAAGGUAAGUUUACACAGCUCACCUGGGCAGGGUGUUGACAGGCUGUUAUGGGGAUGUUGGGGCAUCUAGAAAAUAUGGAGCUGAAAAUUUUACAAUAUACAUUUGAAUCUUUGAGGGGCAUGUCUUUUUAGAACCUUUUGGAAUACCAGGAAAUAUUUUAAGAGUCUUUUCCUCUUCUGGCUGGGGGCAGUGGCUCAUGCCUGUAGUCAAAGCACUUUGGGAGGCCAAGGUGGGUGGAUCACUUGAGGUCAGGAGUUCAGGACCAGCCUGGCCAACAUGAUGAAACUCCAACUCUAUUAAAUAUACAAAAAAUUACCCAG